GAUUGGCUAGGCUAGAACCCUAGCCGCCGCCUCCUCCCACACCCGCGUGGCCUCUCCGACCUGCUUCCUCUCCUCACCUCGCACCCCUCGCGCUGCCACCCUCCCAACCUCUCAUCUUCCAGCGCCUCCUCCCCGUCAGCUCGAUCUCUCCACUCCCAGCCGGUCAUCCUUCUCUUGCAUCGCCCGGAGGGGUGCAGCCGCCGCCGCUCGCAUUUGUUACUCCCCCUGCCCCCACCUUGCGAGCUCGCACAUCUGCUCCGCCCAGAGGCGUCGCCAUUGACCGCCGGAGGACCGUGCCGCAGCCAAACUCGAGGACAACCACUGCUAUGGCCCGUGGAGUUGCAAGUGGAAGGUUGAACCGGCGAUGGCAGCUGUAGCGUGACAGACGACAUCAGCAACAAGCAAUUACUCAUCUUUGCAUCAGCAACAGAUGGAUGAUGGAAUUGUUUCAAUCUGGAUAUUUUGCUUGGAAAAAAUUAUCACGUACAGUACCAGAAGGGUGAGAGUGAAUUUCAAACGGCUUAUGACAAAGGAAUGCCCAAAUCAAAGUUCUGGGAGCCUGCAUAUGAAGAUUGCUUAAAUAUGAUUGCUCUACCGCAUGUACUCCCCCGUUGCUCCUCUACUCCAGGUCCUCCCCCCUCUCUCUGCCUCUCUCUCUCUAUGACCGCUGCUCCCAUCAUCUUGGAACUGCAGGAGACGAACAUGUCGUCUUAGGAUCGGACGUUGCUGGUCGCCGGCUUGGCCUGCAAGAGGAUGCCCCCUGCUCUGACUUGUUCACAUCUUAGUGUUUCACCAAUGAAGAUGUAUUUUCAAGGUAGAUUGGUUCUUUUCUGGCCUACUAAUUUACCAUUGACUUUGUUACAUAUGCAUAUGUGUGGAAAGAUAUGUGAAUUAGCAAGCAGAUAGCUCGCAACCGUCUAAAUCCCUUGAUGCCCCUUGCGUGCCACCUAAUAGUGUUGGAUUGGUUGUAAAUGAUUCUUUGUUGGUGGCAGCAUUGAAUUAGCAAGCAUGCCACACAUUUGCCACAUUGAUCUUUGCAUAUGCUAUAAUUUUCAUGUUAUUUUUUAUCUGACAUAUCAAGGCUUUUGAUUCUCCUAGCCAAGUCGAGUCGCCAUGCCUCCGACCAGUGGCUCGCUGCGAUUAGUCUGUGACUCGUCGUGAUUAAUCGCCCCAAGUUGCCCCAGGUGUUAAGAGGAGGAGGAGGAGGGGGGAGGUGCUAUUGCAGGCGAAGGAGGGGGUAGGAAACUGCUUGGGAGGAUACUUCAGCUCAGAGAAGGCAGCAGCAGCUCGUAGGAGCAAUGGAGGCGGUGAUUCUGAUCUGUGAUGGGAGCACGCGUCUUGCUCCUUCUCUGUUUCAUGCUAGAGAGCUGGCCCAAUAGGCCCAUUAUGUAACCCUAGCUUCCAAAUAAAAUCCAAACCGUCCAUAUGCUCUAAUCUGGACCGCGCAUCUGCUCUCCCACGUGCCUUUCUCCUUUGUCUCUUUCGUGCUUCUCUUCGUACACGCGGCGCACUCUCCAGCUUUGUCUCCUCCUCCCCUGCCUUGGACCCAGGCCUCCUCACCUUCCCGGUCUUGGCAUCCCUUGGCCUUGCUUAAGCAAGCCGCCCUGCUUUGAGGUCCUAGUCGCCUGACUAGUCGUAGACUAAUCAUCGACUAGCCUACCAGCCGCGCGGCUCGCUCCUCUAGCCAAGUCGCCUGCACAAGCCAACCUCUCCCCAACGACUUGGCGAUUAGUCAGAGAUUAGUCGGCGACUCAAAAACCUUGUGACGUAUAAUUCCCAAUGGAAACCGUCGAUAGGAAUACGAUAGUAUGCAGCACCCGGUCCUAUGUGAGCGCAUUUUUUUAUCUCUGGUAUACACUAAAAAAAAUGAGCACAUAUAUUUGUUGGUAAGCAAUUUUUUUCGCAACAAUUACUGUCGUUGAUUGUAUGUUCCAAAAAUAGUGAACACUUUUUGUGGACCCAAAACACAAAGAGAUAGAUGUCAUAUGUGCUUUUAUGUUUCUGAUCCCCCUUUUCUAGUGCUUCAUACAACAAAGAACCAGAGUCAUCGAUGCAGAGGAUCAUUAUCGCGUCCGCUGGCUGAGGGGCAAGCUGGGGCUGUAGUCCUUGAACAUAGUGGUUCUACUGUGAGGAUCUCAUCUCUCUCACUAUGCGCGUAUCUCUCUCUGUCCUGUCUCCCUUUUUGCUAAUCAUUCACGCCUUUCAUGAUCACUAAGUUUUUUUUAGUUUUGUAAUUGUCGAUUGCUGGGAGAAUGAUUAUCCUGAUUAAUUAAGAUUUAAAUGUGUUAGACCAGACCAAGAUGGAUUAGUUUUGAUGUAUAUUUUGGGUUAGGAAAAUGUCAAACCUUAACAUUUAGAAGAAGCUUUACAUAGUUGGAUCCAUUACAGUGCUGCCUUGGUCGUUGUUGUAGGUGAAGGCCUUGCAUUGGGACUCUGUGCCUCCUAAACUAACAACAAAUGAACUUGCCUUUAGGAUUUUUGCACUGCACUGUGCAUCCAGGUCCAACCCAAUGGUUAGGACGGUGGUUCUUGCAUAGCAUACAUGGAUAUGGUACAUGUGGGGAAGAAAUAUAAGAAACUCAUGCUCAUUAGCGAGGGCAGAGGUCAUAUAGUCAUCAAGGACAUCCUUAGUGUCUUCCACUCCAUCACCUUCUGCUCGGCCACUUUCAGCAAAGAAGACUAUGUACAACCUCUUCUUUUUGAAGCCCUCGGCCCCUCACGACCUGUUGAAGUUGAGGGCAGUAGCUCACACUGUGAGGGGCUUCAGCAACGGGGCCUAUUAUGCACAUGAUGGUGUGAUACUCUCCUGGGUAGAGCUCAUCCAUGGCUUGCGUGAGUAUCCCCAAAGGCGGGUGGUAUGGCAAGCCGCGGGGAGCUCAGGAUAGGGUCAGCAGCUUCAACAGUUUGAACUGCACCAAUGCAACUGUAUGUCUCUAGAGUAUGUACUCAGCUCAAAAAAAAUCUCAAGUGUAUAUCUUCUCGAGACAUGACAUGGAUGAACACUGACAUGCUUGCUGCAAUCCCAUUAUGAACCACGUGCUUCUAUUUCUCUCUGAAUUCGUAUUUUGAACAUGGUGAAUUUCUGGGAAUGUAGUUUCAUCUUUGCUAUUUAUGUCUGUAUAUUUGUGAAUACAUACAUGGUCAGUUAGUUUUCUUGGUAAAUAUAAGAAUUUAGGUUCACAUAAACACCCACUUUUAUGUUGGCUACAUAUUAGUUACACUGAUGCACUACUCAAGCUUUGCUUUCCUUAUAUGGAAAUUUCAUCCGUGAAGUAUGUUGUACCAGCCUUAUGGCUUGCUGAAUAUUGCUCUCGCUAAUCGAUUGCUGCUAUGCAUAUUCUACUUUGCCUGUCUGGGGUAAAUUGAAGGAUGUGUCAUUGGCUGAUGAGGUUAUCCCCACUAAAGCCAAGAAGGCCAGGCGCAACUAAAACCAGGAAGGCCAAUUCUUGUUAAGUGCUCGCCCUUUUGUCUAUAUAUAUGCAGGACCUUAUCAUUUUGUCUGUGGAUGUGCGAAAGAAUGAUGUCUGGAUAUGGGAGUGUCUCUUUAGAUGUAGAUAUAGAUAGUGCCUCAAGCAACUAAACCGCAUAUGGGGUUUUAACAUUGUCUUUGGUGGAAAAGGCCCUCAAUUCUCGACCAUUGUUCUAUUUCCGAUUUCUUGCUUGGUUGUGUAGAUGUCGUGGGUAUUGUAGUCAAGGUUUCUGAUGUACUCUUGUUCCAGCCGCAACCAUGGCAAACUGUGACACUUACUAUGAAUCAGAAGUAGUUAUGUCUAUCUCUC